CACGUAGGGCGCAAGCGUUGUCCGGAAUUAUUGGGCGUAAAGGAGCUCGUAGGCGGUCUGUUGCGUCCGCUGUGAAAACUCGGGGCUUAACCCCGAGCCUGCAGUGGAUACGGGCAGACUAGAGGUAGGUAGGGGAGAAUGGAAUUCCCGGUGUAGCGGUGAAAUGCGCAGAUAUCGGGAGGAACACCGGUGGCGAAGGCGGUUCUCUGGGCCUUACCUGACGCUGAGGAGCGAAAGCGUGGGGAGCGAACAGG
rnacentral:rRNA from 1 species